rnacentral:rRNA from 1 species
UACGUAGGGGGCGAGCGUUGUCCGGAUUUAUUGGGCGUAAAGAGCGUGUAGGCGGCCAGGUAGGUCCGUUGUGAAAGUCGGGGGCUCAACCCUCGAAUGCCGGUGGAUACUGUCGGGCUAGAGUGCGGAAGAGGCGAGUGGAAUUCCUGGUGUAGCGGUGAAAUGCGCAGAUAUCAGGAGGAACACCUAUUGCGAAGGCAGCUCGCUGGGACGUAACUGACGCUGAGACGCGAAAGCGUGGGGAGCAAACAGG